rnacentral:sRNA from 2 species
AUGUACCACUCCUGCACACCGGUUCCUUCCGCGCCGUCCGCACCCACCUCACGGCUGCUCGCUACGUUUUGAUAGCC